rnacentral:lncRNA from 1 species
CAGGCUAUGGUUUGGCCGUGGCUUAUUCCUUUACUUAGAGUCAGAAUUCCCAUGGCGACAGCUUUUGCCCAGUUCUAGUUGUAUUAGUGCAUCCUCUUAUCCCUAUAAACCUAGAAAUCUUCAUGGUCUCCCGCUGUUCUCAGCCACUGUGUACUUCAUUGUAUCCUAUCGAUUCUCUUACGCUCAGCCACACCAUGGUAAAUACUUCUGUCUUUACAUUCUGUUCAAUUAACACCUCGAAGGUGCUGUUUCCUGCUUUAAUCUGGACUGAUGCAGACUGUCAACCCUACUCUGUUUAAUGAUUUCUUCCUUUCUACUUCAAAACUACAUUAUUUUAUAUGAUGUAUGUUUUAACAUAAAAAUAUGUCACUUAGUUAUGAGUAUACCUCUAUAUUAUUAUUUGGUAUUUCAAAUCUAUUUGAUGGGAAAAUUAUUGUAACAAAUCUUGAAAUGAAGAUAUUUCUAAGCAGCAAGAAGUGGCUUUACAUGAACCGCCAGCAUUUUCUUUUACACUGGGGUAAAACUGACCUUUCCGGAAACCUUUCUCUAAUGGAUGACAUUAUGAAGAAAGGCAUCUUCAGCCUCAAAGGGCACUGUUUGGGCUGGUCUUCAUUCAAAGAGUAUAGAGUCCAAGAUGAAAGUAAACCUGGCACUUUUACCUGAGUAAGUUGGAGGAAGAUGCCAUUUAAUGUAUUGGAUAAUAACGGAAGAAGUCCAGAGUCAUUUCCUAGAAUUAACAAGAAAUGCCAUGAGGGCGCAAAAAGUUCCUCCCUUUUGUCAUAUUGCUUAAUUGGCAUACGUGUUUGUUUGGGGAACUUUAAAAGAAACUUGGCAAUAGAUAUAUGGCCACAUCAAAAGAUCGGAGUUUGGAUUGCUUCCUCUUCCAUGAAAGUUAAAGCUGGCAAAAGUACUAGGUUUAUUUUACUGCCAUUAGUUGGACCCAACAAAGAAAAUAAAGCUUCCUUUAUAUCUUUCCAGUUUUGUGUGUUUUCCUGCUAAUGAGCCUCAAAGACUGCUACUACCCUCAGGGUAAUAAUAUAAAUGUUUAAUUUAUGUCAUUAAUUAAAUUGUUUAAUUUAAAUAGCAUUUAAAUUCUGCAUGAAGCAUACAAUAAUAUUUCUGGGAGCGUGACCUUAAUGUGAUUUUUCAAUGUGUUUUCUUAUCUAAGUAGCAUCCAUUUACUAAGGAAAAUAUAUAACAUGCUAUUGAUGCUCAGCUCCUCAAUAGAAACAGGUGUAAAAUUUCAGAGAAAUGAAUAUAAUAUAACAUAAUAUAAUAUAAAUUUAUAUUCUUAAUAUAUAUUUGUGCAAAUAAUCAACUAUUAAACGAUUAAAACUAUUUUAAUAGUUUUAAAAAACUAAAACUAUUCUUUUAAAACUAUUAUUUUAGCACUAUAUUUAAUUAUAAGCAUAUUCAGGUAUAUGUUAAAAAGUAGGCAAGAAUUUAGACAAUUAUCAACAAAUUGUCUUUAAUGGUCAAAGUUUC